UCAAACGGAACUAAAAGCUUCGUGAAACAGCGAUCCUGCAGUCGUCUGUGUGCUCUGGGACUUGAUACCGUCAUCCCGAUCAACACCUUCACAGAGAGGGAGAGAGAGAGGAAGAGCUUUCGGUAAUAUGAGAGGAGUCUAUUUGUUCUAUUCGCAUCACUCUUCGGGGUUUCUUCGUCGAAUCCCUAAGUUAGGCACCAGCGUGCCUCGCUUUUACUCUGAUCAGUCGCAUCUUUCUUCCAGCUCUAAACGUGCAGGUCCACUUGUGCAGUACAAGAAUUUAGUUGAGCAAGGGAGGCUGCAACAUGAUCCAUAUCAGGAAAAAGUUGCUUUGGAAUUGGAAAAUCUACUUGGGAGGUUGGACCUGUAUGAGAAAGAUAUGGAGGAAUAUCAUGAAAACCUAGCCAAGUGGGAGAAGAGCAGGGAAGAUGAACGGCGAAGACUUUUGAUGGAGGAAGCUCAGCACAAACAGCAGGGGGGUAUGUGGACAACUGUAAACAAGAAUCGGAAUAGACUUAUUGAAAAAUUGGUAUCAUGGAAAAAACCUAACAGUGUAGAACCUGGAGUGGGGAAAUGGGUUUCAUAUCUAAAUCGAGAGAAGAAGUUGGAUGUGCUAGUCGGUCGCCGUCCAGUUGCUCCUCCAGCUCCUAAAGGACUUUAUCUUUAUGGAAGUGUUGGAAGUGGGAAGACAAUGCUUAUGGACAUGUUCUAUAGUGCCACUGAAGGAAUUGUUAAACAUCGAAGAAGGUUUCAUUUUCAUGAGGCUAUGCUUGAAAUACAUGAACAUAUGCAUAAGAUAUGGAAGAAUCAAGUGGCAGAGAAGUCCUUGCAGUCAGGCAUUUCUAGCUGGAUUAUGAAUCUUGGCUUUGACACAAAAGUUAGAGAAUGGUUGGCUGCAGAAGAAAAGUAUAAUCAAGAGGUAAAGAUGGAAAACAUUCUUAGCGCUGUAGCGGAUAAAUUUCUUAUAGAUUGGCAAGUGAAUCAAAGAGGAGCAAGCAUUCUUUGCUUUGAUGAGAUACAGACUGUUGACGUAUUUGCUGUUGUGGCCUUAUCUGGAAUUGUGAGCAGAUUGUUGAGUACCGGCACUGUUCUUGUGGCUACGAGUAAUCGAGCACCUAAGGAUUUAAAUCAGGAUGGCAUGCAGAGGGAAAUCUUCCUAAAAUUUGUUGCAGAAUUGGAGAAGCACUGUGAGGAUAUUCUGAUUGGUAGUGAGAUUGAUUAUCGCCGUCUUAUAGCACAAAGAUCAAUCGACCAGGUUCACUUUUUCUGGCCUUUGGAUAGUGCUUCUUGUAAUGAAUUUGAGAAAAUGUGGGAUGAAGUAACCAACCAUCAUGGGGGAAGAAUUAUCUCUCGCGCUAUUCCUGUGAUGUUUGGAAGAAAGUUGGAGGUUCCUGAAAGCUGUAAUGGAGUUGCACGUUUCAAGUUUGAUUAUUUAUGUGGCCAACCGGUUGGAGCAGCAGACUACAUUGCAUUGGCAAAAAACUACCAUACUGUCUUUAUAUCUGACAUUCCUGUGAUGAGUAUGCGUAUUCGUGACAAGGCACGGAGGUUUAUCACCCUCGUUGAUGAGUUGUACAAUCAUCAUUGCUGUCUAUUUUGUUCUGCAGCGUCUUCUAUUGAUAAUCUCUUUCAGGGAACUGAAGAGGGAGCGCUUUUUGAUUUAGAGAGUUUUCAGUUUGAAACGGAGAUAGAAGGUGGGAAGCUUCGCCGAAAUGUUUUAGCAGAAGGCAAUGUGAGCUCUGGUGGUGAAGCAGCUGGUAUAAUAUCCAUAUUGUCAGGACAAGAAGAGAUGUUUGCCUUCCGUCGUGCAUUGGUUGGCAGAGCAGGCUUCAACAUGAUUUUUCUUCCAAUUAUACUGGAAGAUGAGUGUUCUCAUAUCCUUGAGUUACGCCCAAAUCAUCCAAUCAAGAACCAAGGAGUACAUGGCCAAUAUUCUUGGGUUUCCCGCUUGAUUGAAAUGCAAACGCCUUUAUACCUGGAGGGAGUUCGUUUUCUUCAUCCUUGUUUCCAGUAGCAACAGCAAAUCUUUGAGAUUGAUCAAGAAAGCACAUUUCAAUCUCAACUUUCAUCUUGACCGUUAGGACGCAAAUUGGAGAGUAGGGCUGAAUACACAUAUGCAAAUAUGGAGGAUCAUAAGGCAUUGCUAUCCCAACAUCGCCCAAAACACCAAGCAUAGAAAAAUAGAAGCAAACCAGAAGCACAACUGUGCAGAAUGGCCUCAUUUUCUUGGCUAAACACCGAGAUACCUCUUGUUCUCCUUUGCAUCCUAAUUUAUACUCUAAUUGGGAACCUCUCUCUCAUCGCAAUCAUCAUAGUCGUCAUUGUGCCUUUAGUUGGCCGGUGCCAAUGAAAUGAAAAUCUUAGGGCAGCUGUAUGUGAAAGAGGUCAUCCCACUGACGUCCAUUUGGUUUUCUAGAGAGGCACAACUGCAUUUUGCCUUGUGGCCAAAAUAUUAGACUUCAUGCAUCGGUCUAAAGUUCUAACUCAACUGGGCAUCAAGUAAUAAA